UACGAAGGGGGCUAGCGUUGCUCGGAAUCACUGGGCGUAAAGCGCACGCAGGCGGCUUUUUAAGUCAGGGGUGAAAUCCUGGAGCUCAACUCCAGAACUGCCUUUGAUACUGAGAAGCUUGAGUCCGGGAGAGGUGAGUGGAACUGCGAGUGUAGAGGUGAAAUUCGUAGAUAUUCGCAAGAACACCAGUGGCGAAGGCGGCUCACUGGCCCGGUACUGACGCUGAGGCGCGAAAGCGUGGGGAGCAAACAGG
rnacentral:rRNA from 1 species